UACGUAGGGUGCGAGCGUUGUCCGGAAUUAUUGGGCGUAAAGAGCUCGUAGGCGGUGUGUCACGUCGGCCGUGAAAACCUGCAGCUUAACUGUGGGCGUGCGGUCGAUACGGGCAUCACUGGAGUUCGGCAGGGGAGACUGGAAUUCCUGGUGUAGCGGUGGAAUGCGCAGAUAUCAGGAGGAACACCAAUAGCGAAGGCAGCUCGCUGGGACGGUACUGACGCUAAGGCGCGAAAGCGUGGGGAGCGAACAGG
rnacentral:rRNA from 1 species